rnacentral:misc_RNA from 1 species
GCUGCAUAUGAGGUGUGGUUUUAUAAUGUUUUUUUACUCUUCUUUAUGAUCCUUUUCUAUUUACUAUGAGGUGUUUCAUUUGGCCCAUAAAUAAUAAAACAUCCUGUGAAAUUUUGUCUUGUUAAUGAUCGAAAGUAAUCUACUUAGUAAAAACUCUGCUUAGUUGAUGUGCUCCCACGUUUGACAUCUCAUCUUCUGCAGGUUCUUAGUGAUGAAGAUAAG